CUUCAAAAAGGUCACAUCGAAUGUUUUGGAUACUCAGUCGAACAAGACUAUGAGAGCUCGACAACUGGCCCCUGUAUGUAGCUCAGUUGGUGGAAUCGCAGGGCCACAGGGCCGAUUCCUGCCAGGGAUCUAAUCUCUAAAUUUGCAUUUUUUGCAGCUGUUCCUGGCCAGGUCUAAUAAAUGUAUAUAAAUUUUCACUCGACAAUUUCCAUCUACAAAGAGGAUACAUCCCAAGGGACGGAAUUUAUUUUUGGUGAAAGGUAUU